rnacentral:rRNA from 1 species
AUUGAACGCUGGCGGCAUGCCUUACACAUGCAAGUCGAACGGCAGCGGGGGAGAAGCUUGCUUUUCCUGCCGGCGAGUGGCGAACGGGUGAGUAAUACAUCGGAACGUGCCCUGUAGUGGGGGAUAACUAGUCGAAAGAUUAGCUAAUACCGCAUACGACCUGAGGGUGAAAGUGGGGGACCGCAAGGCCUCAUGCUAUAGGAUCGGCCGAUGUCUGAUUAGCUAGUUGGUGGGGUAAAGGCCUACCAAGGCGACGAUCAGUAGCUGGUCUGGGAGGACGAUCAGCCACACUGGGACUGAGACACGGCCCAGACUCCUACGGGAGGCAGCAGUGGGGAAUUUUGGACAAUGGGCGAAAGCCUGAUCCAGCAAUGCCGCGUGUGUGAAGAAGGCCUUCGGGUUGUAAAGCACUUUUGUCCGGAGAGAAAUGGCUCUGGUUAAUACCUGGGGUCGAUGACGGUACCGGAAGAAUAAGGACCGGCUAACUACGUGCCAGCCGCCGCGGUAA